ACGGGUGAGUAACACGUGGGCAAUCUGCCCUUCACUCUGGGACAAGCCCUGGAAACGGGGUCUAAUACCGGAUAUCACUUCCGCAGGCAUCUGUGGGGGUUGAAAGCUCCGGCGGUGAAGGAUGAGCCCGCGGCCUAUCAGCUUGUUGGUGAGGUAAUGGCUCACCAAGGCGACGACGGGUAGCCGGCCUGAGAGGGCGACCGGCCACACUGGGACUGAGACACGGCCCAGACUCCUACGGGAGGCAGCAGUGGGGAAUAUUGCACAAUGGGCGAAAGCCUGAUGCAGCGACGCCGCGUGAGGGAUGACCGCCUUCGGGUUGUAAACCUCUUUCAGCAGGGAAGAAGCGAAAGUGACGGUACCUGCAGAAGAAGCGCCGGCUAACUACGUGCCAGCAGCCGCGGUAAUACGUAGGGCGCAAGCGUUGUCCGGAAUUAUUGGGCGUAAAGAGCUCGUAGGCGGCCUGUCGCGUCGGAUGUGAAAGCCCGGGGCUUAACCCCGGGUCUGCAUUCGAUACGGGCAGACUAGAGUGUGGUAGGGGAGAUCGGAAUUCCUGGUGUAGCGGUGAAAUGCGCAGA
rnacentral:rRNA from 1 species